UUCGCUAGAAUGGAGAGCUUCGCCGAGCUUACGAUGUACUCUUGAACCGGUGUUGUCGGCACCGUAAAAAGUUUUCAACUCAGAGGGUGUUGGAUCCAAAACUACAACAAAUAAAAUCACCUGCAAAAAAAAACAACACCCACAAGUGGAAACAGAUUGCAAUAAACGACGAGUCUCAGAAACAUUGAUCAAUAUUUGCCGAAAGAGUUCAGUUGAUAUCCGGCACAACUCAGCAGCUGUGUUGAAACGAAAUCGAUGUCGAGAUUUAAAGUGGACUUGUGAAGGCCGCGAGCGAGUUUUACGGCAUGGCAGGAGUUGUCAUGGGCGUGUGGUUGAACAAUUAUGUUGCAAAUUGUUGGUGGAGCUGCGAAAUUGAAGAGGUCUUGUGGAGGUGGAGACGGAGCGGAAAGAUUUUGAGGUUUAUGAGGUGUAGAAGGGGGUUUCCGACGUCUGUAGCGGUUUGGAUUAGGUGUAGGAGCUAGAGGGAGAUCGAUUGUUGGCGUUGAGAAAUGGAUUCACGACGGUUAUGGGUUGAGGAUGGAGGCCGACGUGUUUUGUUGUGAUUGCCGACGGAGGCGUGGUUUCCGGCAAUUCAACGAAGGGUGAAGGAGAGAUGAACAGUGAGAGACCUUUUUUUUCGUUUUUUUAAGAGAGGGUGACAGUCAUUAAAGAGUGUGAGGUAGCGUGAGGGAGUGAGAGAGAUGAUGGAGAGUGAUUUUGUGUGUGGCUCUAGGUAAUAGGCAAAGAGAGUCUAUGUAUGUGAGUGGAGAGAAACGUGUUGAAGAAGAGAGGAGUUGAGUGAGCUGUCAACUAAAAAAAAAAGAGAAUCCAAUGUUAUCUUAUUCUAAUAUUAUUAUUUUGAAAUCAUUAUUGUUAUUUAUUUUUAACUAAAAAUAUGAUAUCACAAAUAAAAAUUCAAAUUAUUUAAUUUGAUAUUUUGAAUAAAGAAAUAAAAUGACCUGAUUAAAAAUAGAAAUUGGGUAUAAAUUUACUCGAAAAUUAAAUCGGACACAUUAAAAUAAUCAGCACAAUAUACUUAUUGAAAAAAUACAGCGUUUCUUCAAAUUCUGAAAUAAAAACAAUUCUAAAUCACCUUAUAAUUCUAAUUAAUCUACAAUUAUUUCUAAAAAAAAGAAAUCUAAUUAAAUUCUAAAAUAUUUUCAAAGAUUAAAUUCUAAAAUCAUUCUAAAUUAAAUUAAAAUUUUAAAACAAUUCUAAAUUAUUAUAAUUCUAAAAUUAACAUAUGAAAUUAUUCUAAUAUAACCCUAACAUUAAUCAAGAUAGUGUCCUAAUUCUUUAAAGUGAUACUAAUAUUCACAAAAACUGUUCUUAGCAUAUUACAGGUUAUGUGUGUAAACAAGUGGUACUUAAAAAACUAUAGGAAAGAGAGGGGAACGGUGGAUCUCUCCUCCCUCCAAUCAAUAAUUGGCCUUUUUUAAAACUCACAAACAUAUAAUGGAUUAUUAACACAUGUUUCCCCUUUUUUUAAACAAAUAAAUGCAUAAACACCUAACUGAGACAAAAAGGAAACACCAGGGAGGCGAAUCACGCUCAUCUCUCUCCAUCAUCCAUCAUGUGCAUCAUAAUCCAAAACCAAAUAACAUACAAACAAAGCCUAUCAAUAAUCAUGGAAAUGUAUUCCAAAAAUACAGAACAUACACAAUUUAUUAACAAAAAUGCAACUCUUUAGUCAUAGGUUAAUCUUGACAAUAACAGGGAAGGAAAUAAUCCACAGCAUCAUCAAAUUCAAACGACGCCAUACAAAACAAAAACCAACAUAAUGUAAUAGUAACGGGAGAAUGGUCAUCACAAUCAGUAACCUAACACGUUUUAUAUAUUGUUCAAACUACGAAUACGUUUGUUUGUAAUACCUGUGUAGGAAAUCAAAGGUGCAGCAACAAUACGGCGCAACCGACUCGUUGUUCCCGGCUUUGAAACUCUAUUUGGACUUGGUAAUAACUUGACUCGUUCGCUAGAAUGGAGAGCUUCGCCGAGCUUACGAUGUACUCUUGAACCGGUGUUGUCGGCAACCGUAAAAAGUUUUCAACUCAGAGGGUGUUGGAUCCAAAACUACAACAAAUAAAAUCACCUGCAAAAAAAAAACAACACCCACAAGUGGAAACAGAUUGCAAUAAACGACGAGUCUCAGAAACAUUGGAUCAAUAUUUGCCGAAAGAGUAUCAGUUGAUAUCCGGCACAACUCAGCAGCUGUGUUGAAACGAAAUCGAUGUCGAGAUUUUAAAGUGGACUUGUGAAGGCCGCGAGCGAGUUUACGGCAUGGCAGGAGUUGUCAUGGGCGGUGGUGGUUGAACAAUUAUGUUGCAAAUUGUUGGUGGAGCUGCGAAAUUGAAGGAGGUCUUGUGGAGGUGGAGACGGAGCGGAAAGAUUUUGAGGUUUAUGAGGUGUAGGAAGGCGGGUUUCCGACGUCUGUAGCGGUUUGGAUUAGGUGUAGGAGCUAGAGGGAGAUCGAUUGUUGGCGUUGAGAAAUGGAUUCACGACGGUUAUGGGUUGAGGAUGGAGGCCGACGGUGUUUGUGUGAUUGCCGACGGAGGCGUGGUUUCCGGCAAUUCAACGAAGGGUGAAGGAGAGAUGAACAGUGAGAGACCUUUUUUUUCGUUUUUUUAGAGAGGGUGACAGUCAUUAAAGAGUGUGAGGUAGCGUGAGGGAGUGAGAGAGAUGAUGGAGAGUGAUUUUGUGUGUGGCUCUAGGUAAUAGGCAAAGAGAGUCUAUGUAUGUGAGUGGAGAGAAAACGUGUUGAGAGAAGAG
rnacentral:lncRNA from 1 species